AGAUUUGAACAGUCUCAAGUGUAACCAGUCGAAACUGUAAGGAUGAUUUCGAAACUUGACUGAUGAGGAAAGACUGCGAAUGACCCGUCCUUGCUUUUUUCCUGUCCGUCUUUGUAUUGUCUAUCUGACCAGAUCGGAAGAGCGCCGU